rnacentral:rRNA from 1 species
GACGAACGCUGGCGGCGUGCUUAACACAUGCAAGUCGAACGGAAAGGCCCUUCGGGGUACUCGAGUGGCGAACGGGUGAGUAACACGUGGGUGAUCUGCCCUGCACUUUGGGGUAAGCCUGGGAAACUGGGUCUAAUACCGAAUAUGAUCAUCGGCGUCAUGGUCGGUGGUGGAAAGCUUUUGCGGUGUGGGAUGGGCCCGCGGCCUAUCAGCUUGUUGGUCGGGUAAUGGUCUACCAAGGCGACGACGGGUAGCCGGCCUGAGAGGGUGACCGGCCACACUGGGACUGAGAUACGGCCCAGACUCCUACGGGAGGCAGCAGUGGGGAAUAUUGCACAAUGGGCGCAAGCCUGAUGCAGCGACGCCGCGUGAGGGAUGACGGCCUUCGGGUUGUAAACCUCUUUCAGCACAGACGAAGCGCAAGUGACGGUAUGUGCAGAAGAAGGACCGGCCAACUACGUGCCAGCCGCCGCAGUAA